rnacentral:rRNA from 1 species
GAUGAACGCUAGCGGCAGGCCUAAUACAUGCAAGUCGAACGGUGGCAGCAAUGCCAUAGUGGCGCACGGGUGCGUAACGCGUAACCAACCUACCCUUGACUGGGGGAUAGCCCGCCGAAAGGCGGAUUAAUACCGCAUAAUACUUGUGACCGGCAUCGGUGAUUAGUUAAAGAUUUAUUGGUCAAGGAUGGGGUUGCGUGCCAUUAGCUAGUUGGGGGGGUAACGGCCCACCAAGGCGACGAUGGCUAGGGGAGCUGAGAGGCUGGUCCCCCACACGGGCACUGAGAUACGGGCCCGACUCCUACGGGAGGCAGCAGUAGGGAAUAUUGGGCAAUGGCCGAGAGGCUGACCCAGCCAUGCCGCGUGCAGGACGAAGGCUUUCUGAGUCGUAAACUGCUUUUGCCAGGGAAGAAUAAGGUGCGUGCGCGCUCCGACGACGGUACCUGGUGAAUAAGCACCGGCUAACUCCGUGCCAGCAGCCGCGGUAAUACGGAGGGUGCAAGCGUUGUCCGGAUUUAUUGGGUUUAAAGGGUGCGUAGGCGGCUUUUUAGGUCCGGGGUGAAAGCCCGUUGCUCAACAACGGAACUGCCCUGGAAACUGGAGAGCUUGAGUACAGACGAGGGCGGCGGAAUGGAGGGUGUAGCGGUGAAAUGCAUAGAUACCCUCCAGAACCCCGAUUGCGAAGGCAGCUGCCUAGACUGUUACUGACGCUGAGGCACGAAAGCGUGGGGAGCGAACAGGAUUAGAUACCCUGGUAGUCCACGCCGUAAACGAUGGAUACUCGCUGCCGGCGAUACAAUGUCGGUGGCUUAGCGAAAGCGUUAAGUAUCCCACCUGGGGGAGUACGCCCGCAAGGGUGAAACUCAAAAGAAUUGACGGGGGCCCGCACAAGUGGUGGAGCAUGUGGUUUAAUUCGAUGAUACGCGAGGAACCUUACCUAGGCUAGAAUGCGCGUGACCGGCUCAGAGAUGAGCCUUUCCUUCGGGACACAAAGCAAGGUGCUGCAUGGCCGUCGUCAGCUCGUGCCGUGAGGUGUUGGGUUAAGUCCCGCAACGAGCGCAACCCCUAUGGUUAGUUGCCAGCACGUAAUGGUGGGGACUCUAGCCAGACUGCCUGCGCAAGCAGUGAGGAAGGCGGGGACGACGUCAGGUCAUCAUGGCCCUUACGCCUAGGGCUACACACGUGCAACAAUGGACGGUACAGCGGGUUGCCAACCAGCGAUGGUGCGCCAAUCCCGAAAAGCCGUUCUCAGUUCGGAUCGGAGUCUGCAACCCGACUCCGUGAAGCUGGAAUCACUAGUAAUCGCGUAUCAGCAAUGACGCGGUGAAUACGUUCCCGGGCCUCACACCGCCCGUC